rnacentral:rRNA from 1 species
AUUGAACGCUGGCGGCAUGCCUAACACAUGCAAGUCGAACGGAGGUAGGGGCAACUCUACUUCAGUGGCGGACGGGUGAGGAAUGCGUCGGAAUCUACCCUAUGGUGGGGGAUAACACAGGGAAACUUGUGCUAAUACCGCAUAAUGUCGAGAGACCAAAGCAGGGGACCGCAAGGCCUUGCGCGAUAGGAUGAGCCGACGCCCGAUUAGCUAGUUGGUAGGGUAAAGGCCUACCAAGGCGACGAUCGGUAGCUGGUCUGAGAGGAUGAUCAGCCACACUGGGACUGAGACACGGCCCAGACUCCUACGGGAGGCAGCAGUGGGGAAUAUUGGACAAUGGGCGCAAGCCUGAUCCAGCAAUGCCGCGUGUGUGAAGAAGGCCUGCGGGUUGUAAAGCACUUUUGUUCGGGAAGAAAUCAUGCUGGUUAAUACCUGGUAUGGAUGACGGUACCGAAAGAAUAAGCACCGGCUAACUUCGUGCCAGC